GCGACCCUCCUCCCUGACCGUCAGCGCAUUCCUUUGGGAAAGCAGCCGGCUUCCUGAGCUGCUAACCACCGCCCCGCCCAGUAGCACUGAGGUGUACCUGACAAAUAAAAUGAAAUGGGAUUGCUGUUCUCAAUUUUCUGAGGAAACUCCCUACAAUGUUUUCCACAAUGGCUGUGCUCCCUUUUCUCCACAUCCUCGCCAACACUUCUUUCUGGUAACAGUCAUUCGAACAGCUGUGCGGUGAUACCUCACUGUGGUUUUGACUUGCAUUUCCCUGAGGGGCCUGGAAGAGAAGUACCCUGGGAAGAACUGAGCGCUCCGGACAUCAGACACAACAUUGCCACACUGCCUGAGCUGGGCCUGCAAGAUGAGUUCAUCCACCACGGACAGAUCAAGCGGGUAAGGAAGACCCCCACACACCUCAAGGGAUUCUGAGAAGCCUGCCAGCCUAUUCGUGCACAGAAAGGUUCACCGCCACUGGAACAGCAAAAACAAAAAAGUAUCUUGCACACGGUUGUCCUGACAACAGUGAUACUUUUUGAGCUCCUGCAGCCAAUAGG